CUUUUUUUUUUCCUCACAUUUUGAAGCUUUAUAAUAUUGUCAAUAAGAUAGGUCAUCGAAUCCUAGUGCAAGUAGCAAAAGAUUUGAAAGUUGGUAUCCGAGAUCCCAAAUUUGAAUCCUAAUUAAUUUAUAUUUCUAGCUAAAUUUAUUUCUAAAAAAAUAAAUGAAACAGGUUACAUGCUAAAUCAAAAAAAAUAAGCCAAUUG
rnacentral:lncRNA from 1 species